rnacentral:rRNA from 1 species
GACGAACGCUGGCGGCGUACUUAACACAUGCAAGUCGAACGGAAAGGCCCUGCUUUUGUGGGGUGCUCGAGUGGCGAACGGGUGAGUAACACGUGAGUAACCUGCCCUUGACUUUGGGAUAACUUCAGGAAACUGGGGCUAAUACCGGAUAGGAGCUCCUGCUGCAUGGUGGGGGUUGGAAAGUUUCGGCGGUUGGGGAUGGACUCGCGGCUUAUCAGCUUGUUGGUGGGGUAGUGGCUUACCAAGGCCUUGACGGGUAGCCGGCCUGAGAGGGUGACCGGCCACAUUGGGACUGAGAUACGGCCCAGACUCCUACGGGAGGCAGCAGUGGGGAAUAUUGCACAAUGGGCGGAAGCCUGAUGCAGCAACGCCGCGUGCGGGAUGACGGCCUUCGGGUUGUAAACCGCUUUCGCCUGUGACGAAGCGUGAGUGACGGUAAUGGGUAAAGAAGCACCGGCUAACUACGU